GUAGUCAUAUGCUUGUCUCAAAGAUUAAGCCAUGCAUGUCUAAGUAUAAAUCUUUUACUUUGAAACUGCGAACGGCUCAUUAAAUCAGUUAUCGUUUAUUUGAUAGUACCUUGCUACAUGGAUACCUGUGGUAAUUCUAGAGCUAAUACAUGCUGAAAACCCCGACUUCGGAAGGGGUGUAUUUAUUAGAUAAAAAACCAACGCCCUUCGGGGCUUCUUGGUGAUUCAUGAUAACUUCACGAAUCGCAUGGCCUUGCGCCGGCGAUGGUUCAUUCAAAUUUCUGCCCUAUCAACUUUCGAUGGUAGGAUAGUGGCCUACCAUGGUGGCAACGGGUAACGGGGAAU
rnacentral:rRNA from 1 species